UCCGCAAUGGUCCAACGGCUAGGAUUCCACGCUUUCACCGUGGCGGUCGGGGUUCGAUUCCCCGUUGCGGAA